rnacentral:rRNA from 1 species
GAGUUUGAUCGUGGCUCAGGAUGAACGCUGGCGGCGUGCCUAAUACAUGCAAGUCGAGCGAACGGACGAGAAGCUUGCUUCUCUGAUGUUAGCGGCGGACGGGCGAGUAACACGUGGAUAACCUACCUAUAAGACUGGGAUAACUUCGGGAAACCGGAGCUAAUACCGGAUAAUAUUAUGAACCGCAUGGUUCAAAAGUGAAAGACGGUCUUGCUGUCACUUAUAGAUGGAUCCGCGCUGCAUUAGCUAGUUGGUAAGGUAACGGCUUACCAAGGCAACGAUGCAUAGCCGACCUGAGAGGGCGAUCGGCCACACUGGAACUGAGACACGGUCCAGACUCCUACGGGAGGCAGCAGUAGGGAAUCUUCCGCAAUGGGCGAAAGCCUGACGGAGCAACGCCGCGUGAGUGAUGAAGGUCUUCGGAUCGUAAAACUCUGUUAUUAGGGAAGAACAUAUGUGUAAGUAACUGUGCACAUCUUGACGGUACCUAAUCAGAAAGCCACGGCUAACUACG